UAAUACGUAGGGGGCAAGCGUUGUCCGGAAUUAUUGGGCGUAAAGCGCGCGCAGGCGGUCAUUUAAGUCUGGUGUUUAAUCCCGGGGCUCAACCCCGGAUCGCACUGGAAACUGGGUGACUUGAGUGCAGAAGAGGAGAGUGGAAUUCCACGUGUAGCGGUGAAAUGCGUAGAUAUGUGGAGGAACACCAGUGGCGAAGGCGACUCUCUGGGCUGUAACUGACGCUGAGGCGCGAAAGCGUGGGGAGCAAACAGG
rnacentral:rRNA from 1 species